UUGAGUCAAAUUAUCAGCUUAUGUAAAAAAUAUUCCAUCCACUUUUUGUGUUAAAGCUUCUGAGAGGAAUUUUUGGUUUAUGUCCAUUUUGGCGCCCCCCUGUGGACAGAGUAGCCUUUGUUUUUUUUUUCUGGUACAUGUAAAAGUUUUGUUUCCCAAACACCUACAAAUCAGAAAUCUCUACAUCCUACCUCUAAUAAGUGUUGUCGUUCGCAAACGAUUCAUUCAAAAGAGCCGAAUCUUUUGAGUGAAUGUACUGAACCGAGUCACUUCCUUGAGUAAGUGAUUCAUUCAUUUCUCACUUCAGUUGAGUUAAAGUGAGAAACAGCAUUGCCAGGCCAACAGCCGACGAAUGAGGGACCACAUGCACAGACGCCUGAAUCAAUUGGUGAACGAAUCACGCAUUGAACUACACUCUCUGGAAUCAUUUUUGUUGCCACCACAACAACUUGCAUACAAUAGGAUAGCAUUUCACAAGUAGUUCAUUAAACCUGUAGCAUCCUAUCAUUGCAGCAGUUUGCGAAGGAAUAGUGCAUGUUCAGUGUGAAUUCUUCCAAAUGUUCAGUGAACGAAUCACUCACUGACCCCAAUUUAGCGAGCAGACUUGAUAAAUAGCAUACCAUAGGACAGUACACUUAAAACAUCAUGACUUAUAAACAAGUUCAUUAUUACAAACCUGUCUGUCAAAGCAACACAGCCAAACACUCUCGUCUCCUGGUCCCAGAAGCUUUAAUCUGAACCACUUCCUGAACUGUUCAACUGUGUAUCAGUUAAGGAGGUCAGAGUCGCAGGGUUCUCCCGCUAAAUGAUUUGGUGAAUGAAUCUUUUGAACGAAUCUGUUAAGUGAACUGAUUCUAGUGAUUCAGUACAUCUAAAAGAACUGCCGUGCCCAUCACUAACAGACUAAUCCUGACUAUCCUGGUUGGUCAAUUUCUGCUGCCAACUCUGCAUGCCUACGCAUUUUCCUCUCAUGAACUGCCUCCUCUGA